GGGGGGGGGGGGGGGGGGGGGGGGGGGGGGGGGGGGGGGGGGGGGGGGGGGGGGGGGGGGGGGGGGGGGGGGAGCAGGGACUGAGCAGGGACUGAGCAGGGGCUGAGCAGGGGCUGAGCAGGGACAGGGACAGGAACCUCUCUGCACGUGUUGACAGGGGUGACACCACCCACAGAGAUCAGCAACUCCUGCCACACAUCUGGACAGAGCCAGGUCCCCGUGCCAAGGAGGGACACGUCUGUCCAUCCCAUGGCUGUCUGUCCAUCCCUGAGCUGUCUGUCCAUCCCAGGGCUGUCUGUCCAUCCCAGGGCUGUCUGUCCAUCCCCAGACCUGUCUGUCUGUCCAUCCCCAGGGCUGGUGGGGCUGGAGGGGGGUUGGUUCAGGGUCCCUCUGUCCCCUCAGCAGUGGGACAGUGACGUGGGGAAGGUGUCCCCAGGCUGGCAUCCAGGUGGGAAUGGGGGCAGUGCCAGCUGGCCCUGGCCACGCUGCUGCUCAAAGCAAAGGCUGCCCCUGAGAGCUGCAGAGCUGAGUGCUGGGGGCAUCCAGCAGGGCUCCAGCAGCACCUGCUCCAUCCCCUCCACCACACUGGGCAUGAACAGACACCUGCCACUCAGCCAAGCCCUACAGGAGCACCAAACCCUACAAGAACACCAAACCCUGCACCAGCACCAAACCCUACAGCAGAACCAAACCCUACAGCAGCAGCAGCACCAAACCUACAGCAGAACCAAACCCUACAGCAGCACCAAAACCUAUAGGAGCACCAAGCCCUACAGCAGCACCAAACCUACAGCAGCAUCAAACCCUGCAGCAGCACCAAACCCUACAGCAGCACCAAACCCUACAGCAGCACCAAACCCUACAGCAGCACCAAACCCUACAGCAGCACCAAACCCUACAGCAGCACCAAACCCUACAGCAGCACCAAACCCUACAGCAGCACCAAACCCUACAGCAGCACCAAACCCUACAGCAGCACCAAACCCUACAGCAGCACCAAACCCUACAGCAGCACCAAACCCUACAGCAGCACCAAACCCUACAGCAGCACCAAACCCUACAGCAGCACCAAACCCUACAGCAGCACCAAACCCUACAGCAGCACCAAACCCUACAGCAGCACCAAACCCUACAGCAGCACCAAACCCUACAGCAGCACCAAACCCUACAGCAGCACCAAACCCUACAGCAGCACCAAACCCUACAGCAGCACCAAACCCUACAGCAGCACCAAACCCUACAGCAGCACCAAACCCUACAGCAGCACCAAACCCUACAGCAGCACCAAACCCUACAGCAGCACCAAACCCUACAGCAGCACCAAACCCUACAGCAGCACCAAACCCUACAGCAGCACCAAACCCUACAGCAGCACCAAACCCUACAGCAACACCAAACCCUACAGCACAGCACCAAACCCUACAGCAGAACCAAACCCUACAGCAACACCAAAACCUAUAGGAGCACCAAACCCUACAGCAGCACCAAACCUACAGCAGCACCAAACCUACAGCAGCACCAAACCUACAGCUUACAGCAGAACCAAACCAUACAGCAACACCAAACCUACAGCAGAACCAAACCCUACAGCAACACCAAACCCUACAGCAGAACCAAACCCUACAGCAACACCAAAACCUAUAGGAGCACCAAACCCUACAGCAGCACCAAACCUACAGCAGCACCAAACCUACAGCAGCACCAAACCUACAGCAGCACCAAACCUACGGCAACACCAAACCCCACAGCAGCACCAAACCCUACAGCAGCAGCACAAAAACCUAUACCACACCACCAAACCUGUAGCAGCACCCCCAAAGCCCACACCAGCAACACCCAACCCCCACCACCCCACCAAACCCACACCAACACCACAAAAACUGCCCAACACCCCCAACCCUACACCACACCCCCAAUCCGUGCCCCUCCUUCACCAAGCCCUAGAGCACUCCCCAAAUCUCAUUGUGCCCAGGUUUGGGCCAUGAUCCCAAGGGUUCUCCUGAUCCCAUUGUGCUCCAGGCCAAGGCAGAUGUUCCCAACCCUGCCCUGUCCUCCCAAAGGAUGGACCAGGCUGGCUCCUGCUGCCCAGCUGCCUUCACCCCACACUGUGCCAGGAUAAAGGAGCCACGAGAUCUGGGCUGCAGCCAGGGGACCAUUAUGGGAUGGCACCUCCCUCCCCAGACAGGACCCUUUGCAUGGCCCCACUGCAGUAACACAUAAUCCCUUCCAGCCUCAGCCCUUAAUGGUUAAACACCAUGGGGCUGUGCAGGCCAUGGAAUCACAGAAUCCCAGGAUUGUUGAGGCUGGAAGAUCUCUGGAGAUCACCCAGACAAGAGAUAAUUCCCCUGACAAGACAGGGUCACCUGGAGCAGGGGCACAGGAAC
rnacentral:lncRNA from 12 species